GAUGAACGCUGGCGGCGUGCCUAAUACAUGCAAGUCGAGCGAACAGAUAAGGAGCUUGCUCCUUUGACGUUAGCGGCGGACGGGUGAGUAACACGUGGGUAACCUACCUAUAAGACUGGAAUAACUCCGGGAAACCGGGGCUAAUGCCGGAUAACAUUUAGAACCGCAUGGUUCUAAAGUGAAAGAUGGUUUUGCUAUAACUUAUAGAGGGACCCGCGCCGUAUUAGCUAGUUGGUAAGGUAACGGCUUACCAAGGCAACGAUACGUAGCCGACCUGAGAGGGUGAUCGGCCACACUGGAACUGAGACACGGUCCAGACUCCUACGGGAGGCAGCAGUAGGGAAUCUUCCGCAAUGGGCGAAAGCCUGACGGAGCAACGCCGCGUGAGUGAUGAAGGUCUUCGGAUCGUAAAACUCUGUUAUUAGGGAAGAACAAAUGUGUAAGUAACUGUGCACGUCUUGACGGUACCUAAUCAGAAAGCCACGGCUAACUACGUG
rnacentral:rRNA from 1 species